rnacentral:rRNA from 1 species
GACGAACGCUGGCGGCGUGCCUAAUACAUGCAAGUCGAACGCAGUGGGGACGGGUGAGUAACACGUGGGUAACCUCCCAUCAGAGGGGAUAAACCUUGGAAACAGGUGCUAAACCGAUACUGGUGGAUGGACUCGCGGUGGAUUAGCUAGUGGGUGAGGUAACGGCUCACCAAGGCCACGAUGCAUAGCGGGCCUGGUAGGGGUACCCGCCACACUGGGACUGAGACACGGCCCAGACUCCUACGGGAGGCAGCAGUAGGGAAUCUUCGGCAAUGGACGAAAGUCUGACCGAGCAACGCCGCGUGAGUGAAGAAGGUUUUCGGAUCGUAAAACUCUGUUAUUAGAGAAGCGGUAUCUAACCAGAAAGCCACGGCUAACUACGUGCCAGCAGCCGCGGUAAUUC